GUGAACCACCAAAAUGCCCUGAAAGCACCCGAUCUCGGCAGAUUUCGGAAGCGAAGCACGGUUGAUAUUUUGGUUAGUACUUGCUUGGUAGACUGCCUGGAAUUACCAGAAGUUAUAGGCG
rnacentral:rRNA from 1 species